UACAGAGGGGGCAAGCGUUGUUCGGAAUUACUGGGCGUAAAGGGCGCGUAGGCGCCUUCUAAGUCGAACGUGAAAUCCCCGGGCUCAACCCGGGAACUGCGUCCGAUACUGGCAGGCUUGAAUCCGGGAGAGGGAUGUGGAAUUCCAGGUGUAGCGGUGAAAUGCGUAGAAUAUCUGGAGGAACACCGGUGGCGAAGGCGGCAUCC
rnacentral:rRNA from 1 species